rnacentral:rRNA from 1 species
AACAGGAUUAGAUACCCUGGUAGUCCAUGCCGUAAACGAUGAGUGCUAGGUGUUGGAGGGUUUCCGCCCUUCAGUGCCGGAGCUAACGCAUUAAGCACUCCGCCUGGGGAGUACGACCGCAAGGUUGAAUCUCAAAGGAAUUGACGGGGGCCCGCACAAGCGGUGGAGCAUGUGGUUUAAUUCGAAGCUACGCGAAGAACCUUACCAGGUCUUGACAUCUUGCGCCAACCCUAGAGAUAGGGCGUUUCCUUCGGGAACGCAAUGACAGGUGGUGCAUGGUCGUCGUCAGCUCGUGUCGUGAGAUGUUGGGUUAAGUCCCGCAACGAGCGCAACCCUUGUUACUAGUUGCCAGCAUUAAGUUGGGCACUCUAGUGAGACUGCCGGUGACAAACCGGAGGAAGGUGGGGACGACGUCAGAUCAUCAUGCCCCUUAUGACCUGGGCUACACACGUGCUACAAUGGACGGUACAACGAGUCGCGAACUCGCGAGGGCAAGCAAAUCUCUUAAAACCGUUCUCAGUUCGGACUGCGGGCUGCAACUCGCCUGCACGAAGUCGGAAUCGCUAGUAAUCGCGGAUCAGCAUGCCGCGGUGAAUACGUUCCCGGGCCUUGUACACACCGCCCGUCACACCAUGAGAGUUUGUAACACCCAAAGUCGGUGGGGUAACCUUUUAGGAGCCAGCCGCCUAAGGUGGGACAGAUGAUUAGGGUGAAGUCGUAACAAGGUAACC